rnacentral:lncRNA from 1 species
UUUUCUUGAGGAAACUUUGUCCCGAUUUUCUGGGACACCCUGUACAUUUACGGAAAAUUUGUUAUUAAGGAAAAAGUUAGUCCAAGGUGUGAAGAACAACAUAUCAAAAGUGCAACCCUGUACGGGGAUCCUAAAUAAUUUUAUUUGAAUUUUUGUAAAGUGGUUUUAUGGUAAAAGCAUGUUUUUUCCUAAGGGAAGUUUGUCCCGAUUUCCUGGGACACCCUGUACAUUUACGGAAAAUUAUGUAAUAAGGAAAAAGUUAGUCCAAGGUGUGAAGAAUAACAUAUCAAAAGUCCAACCCUGUACAGCGGUCCUAAAUAUUUUUAUUUUUAAUUUUUCUAAAAGACUUUUUUGGUAAUGACAUGUUUUGGCUUGAGAUAACUUCAUCCCGAUUUCCUGAGACACCCUGUAUAUUU